rnacentral:misc_RNA from 1 species
GUGAAUCAUCAAAUUUUUGAACGCAAAUUGCACUUUCUGGUAUUCCGGAAAGUAUGCCUGUUUGAGGGUCAGUUAAAUACAAAUCGGCGUUGUUGCUUCCGUUCGUGGUGACGCGUCUGAAGUGUGUUGUCUUACCUUCGGUUAAGUCACUUAAAAUUUUGCAUGAGUUUCGAAGGUCUUUAAAUUUCUUACGUACGUUUGAGAUAUCGAACACUUUAUUAGGUUCGAUCAUCCUCCUGAGU